GAGUAACGGCGAGUGAAAUGGGACAUGUUCAGUGCUGAAUCUGUCUGCUUUUGCAGAUGGAGGUGUAGCAUUAGGUUUCCUGCUGAGCUGGCUUGACAGUGCAUUAGGUUUCCUUUGAGAAGGAUUCCGUGGAAGGUGUAAGGCCUGUAAAUGCAUUGGAUACCAGUUUUAACAGGUCUCCUUGAGUAGGCCUGCUUGAGAGUGCAGGUUGAAUGGGUGGUAGGUUUCACCCAAAGCAAAAUAUCUGUUUGAGUCUGAUAGCGAACAAGUACCAUGAGGGAAAGUUGAAAAGAACUUUGAAGAGAGGGUUCAAUAGUACGUGAAACCAUAUAAGGGUAAAGGCAUGGAUUGGCUGUUUUGGUUGCAGAUAGGCUGCAUGAGUGCUUGCAUUUGUGUAGUUUCAAUUUGCACCAAAAGUAUCCGGCAAAUCUGUCACAUAAGGAGCUGCUUUCAGCUUAAAGCAACUACAUUUUGGUUGCUGCUCCAUAUGGUUUUGAUGCAGAAUUUGCAGCAUGUGCAUAAAUAUGCUUUGCAUUGGAUGCUUAUGCCUAAUACAUGCCUCCCGUCUUGAAACACGGACCAAGGAGUCUAACGUUCAUGCAAACCAAUGAGCUUUAAGCUUACUGGUGAAAUGAAAGUAAUUUGGAUGAGCAGCAUUCAUUGCUGUGCAAUCCUGGUUUGUCUUUCUAGGCAACACCUGAGUAUGACUGUUAGGACCCGAAAGAUGGUGAACUAUGCCUGAGUAGACUGAAGCCAGGGGAAACUCUGGUGGAAGGUCGUAGGGAUUCUGACGUG
rnacentral:rRNA from 1 species